AAUAGUUAAGAGUCUUUAAACCCAAAGAAUUGGCGGUAUCUUAUUCCAUUCAGAGGAACCUAUUCCAUGAUUGAUAGUACACGAUUAACUUUACUUAAUUUAUUUGUUUGUAUAUCUCCGUUAUCAGAAAAUCUUUUUAGAGUUAUAAUUUUCUUAAUUUAUAAUUAUAAAUUAUUUCAGGUCAAGGUGCAGCUUAUAAUUAAGAGGAGAUGGGUUACAAUAGGUUUUUGUUUAUAACGGAUUUGAUAGUGAAAUACUAUUAAUGAAGGUGGAUUUGAUAGUAAUUUGACAUAUUUAAUUUAAUUGAUAUUGGCUCUGAGGUGUGUACACAU
rnacentral:rRNA from 1 species